GUUACGUUUUUCAUACGUACGUAUACGCACGUAAAACUUUAAAUCCGUUUAAAUGUUACUUAUGAAUAAACCAAAUAAAUAAAGCAACAGAAUUUAGUGUUCCGCAAGUUUUAGUAUGCAUUUGUUAACUUGUUUGCAAAAUAUUUAAAAAAUAGAAGGAUUCAAAGUUUUACGUGCGUGUACGUGCGUACGAAAAACGCAAC